AAAAAAAAAAAGAGCACACAAUGUAUGAUUGAUUCUGUUUAUAUGAAACUCUAGAAAAUGUAAAUAAAAAACCAGGUGAGUUUCUGAGACUGGAAUGAAACGGCAAGGAGAGAUUACAAAAGGGAAUGAGGAAACUUUGGGCGAUGAAGGAUAUGUUUACUACCUCGAUUGUGGUGAAGGUUUCACGGAGUUGACAUUUAUUAAAACUUAUCGAAUGGUACAUUUAAUAUGUACAGUUUAUUAUAUGUCAAUUACACCUCAAUAAAGUUAUUGUUUAGAAAGAAUUGCUAUUUAUUCCUGUUCCUUGGCUCUUAAACUGCCAAAUUUUUUCCUUUGGGUGUUUCAUAAAUUAGGAUAAACCACUGCUGCAUUGUCUUGGUGAGGAUAUUUCUUGCCUCUUAAAUCUGACCCCCACUCUCUCCCCAACUAAUCUCUCAUUAACUGGACAACAAAAGGUGAAGGAAGCGCAGAACAGAAGAGGGAGACAUUCCCCAGAAAUCCUUAAUUACUGAUUCUUUUCAUUCCCCAUCUAACAUUGUUUCUGAGUUCUAGAACAGUAGGUUUAAUCCGCCCCAGGGGGACCUUAUUCCAGAGCAGAAAUUGUAGGUGGGGAGAGAAAGGGAGGGAAGGGAGAGCAAGAGUUUAUUACAGUCUUUGGAGGGUGGGAUGGAUGGGAAGAUGUAUGAAGUUUAAAAACAAAGCAUAUCUAUGUCCUGUUUAUGAUUUUUCUUUGUUAGGAUUCUUUAUUUUGUUUCAUGCAAGAGAGGAUUCUUUAUUUUGACUCAUGAAAGAGGAAGUUUUAUAAAGAUUGGGAAAUACUAUUUUAGGAUAUUUCUAUUACCUUUAAGUUAUUAGUUCUUAACUUCUGGAAGGGUUUUGAAAAUCAGAGGCCCUUUCCCCUGGAAAAUGAACAAUGCUUCGUGUUUUGUAAGUGUGUACUGAGUAAGGGUUCUAUAGAUGCAGCUCCCAAGUGCUCAUGGCUUCCAGGCUCAGAGCCUGUAUCUUCAAUCACCUUGUUUUCAGAUGCCCUCAGGGCUCUUUCAGGGUAUGGGGAGCCCUGGACACAAUCUGUGCUCCCAGGAAGAAGUAUUUUUAAAAAUGAGUCUGACUGGUAAACAGUGGAACAAUGAGCGUAUACAGGUCUUGUAGCCUUUAGAGAGGAAGCAGGAAGUGAGCCUUGGCGAAGAAUAUCAAUUUUAUUUUCUGCUAGUUGUGUAAUCAUGGGCAAAGCAUAUAACUUCUCUGAAUCUCAUGGUUCCUUUUAUUUAAAAAGGAAGAUAAUAAUAUCUGCCCAAUCUACUUUAUAAGCAUCGUGUGAGGCUCAAUUAAGACAUUAUUAAAAUCUGGCUGUGUAUGUGCAAUAACUCUCAAAGGUAAAUAAUUAUUUGCACAAAAGGAUAGGAACUACAAAAGUCAAAGGAGGCUUUAAUAAUGCACUUGAAUAUAUGCUCUUGAAUUGGGAUGAAUGAAACGACUUCCAGAAUGAUGGAGAUGCUAUAGAGAUUGCAAGAGUACUGUACAGAUGCCAGAGAUGAAAAUCAAUUCAUUAGCCGUUGCCACUAAGGUUGUGCAAAUUUUCAUCGAAAUCUUUCCAUAAUCUGAUGCUGCAGGAUACAUGCUGGGGGUUUAUGAGGUCCCCUGUGUUGUCAUAAAUGCUGUCCCUCAAGUGACUGUAUUCCACAUGGACUGUCCAGAUGUUCUCACAGAGUAAUGCUAGUACCAGUGAAGAAUAAAACAGGUUUGCAAAAUUUACAGCUGCUUAACAGCAGUUUUUUAAAAUACCUGUCUAGGCUGUUAUUACAAAAGUGAGUGUUGAGUACACCAACCUUGCAGGAGUUGGGAUGGAGUCAGUGCUGAAGUGCCAUUUUGCCUUUUCUUCCUCAAAGUGUAAAGCUUUUAAAGAGGUUGUAAAUUUUCCCGAACAGCAUUUCAGCAAUUCAUAAAUCAUUUGGUUUUGAAAACUCCAUGCCUGUGGCCACCUCCUCUCCCUCCAAUUCCAUUGUAUUGGCUGCGGUGACACCUCCAGUGCAAACUCAUUUAUAGCCUGGGCAUCAGCAAACCCGAGCUGCUUGAACACCCCACAGGGAAGAAAUUAUUCCAUCAGGGGCCUCUUAUCGUCCUCAUCAUGCCACUAAUUUCUGCCUGAUUUAAAUGUGCAUUUGCCGCUACCUAUUAUUUGCCUGGUGCUGACGCCACAGGUGCCAUUAGCAGAGAGGGUCUGGCUGUCUAUCUUUUUCUUUCCUACUGUGUCAGAUUGGUAUUCUGACAUUUCAAAAGAGAAAGCUUGGAGGUGAUUGGAAUCUAGGUCUUGGUGUGCCCUUAGCAAAGCACUCUGUACUACAUUAAAAGUCACAGAUCCUAGGCUCCUGUUCUGGCUUUGCCAUUUACAGGUCACGUAAAUACAGAUAAUUUACCCAGUCUUUCUGAGUCUCACUUUCCCAUUUCAGAGUGGGACGGCAAACCAAGGGUUUCAGCCUGUUGGAUAACAUCUCACUUUUAGCACCUUUGGGAUAUCUGAAAUGCAGAAGCAGGUGAUGUGGUUUUAAUUAACAUAAAGUGACAUUGUUAUGGGACAUCCUCCUUUAUACUGUCAAAUACUUUUUUUUUUUUUUUUGUCUUUUUGCUAUUUCUUUGUCUUUUUGUUGUUGUUGUUGUUGUUGUUGUUGCCAUUUCUUGGGCCGCUCCCGCGGCAUAUGGAGGUUCCCAGGCUAGGGGUCCAAUCGGAGCUGUAGCCACCAGCCUACGCCAGAGCCACAGCAACGCGGGAUCCGAGCCGCGUCUGCAACCUACACCACAGCUCACGGCAACGCCGGAUCGUUAACCCACUGAGCAAGGGCAGGGACCGAACCCGCAACCUCAUGGUUCCUAGUCGGAUUCGUUAACCACUGCGCCACGACGGGAACUCCUAUACUGUCAAAUUCUUAAUCUCUGAGUCUGGAGGUACAAGGACAAAUAUUUGUAGUCAACAAAAGAAUGGCUGAGAUGCACACCAUGAGCCUAAAUUGGGGAAAGUCACAUAUUCUGGACACUGCACAGAGGCAGAGGAAGGCCAGAUGUUAGACUCUGAAGGAGUGACCUCUGGGCCUUCUCUGUCUGACCAAAGAAGCACCAGCUGUUCCUUGGCAUCAUUUGGUUUCAGGAUUCAAUAUCAAUAUGAUGGAGUAAAUCGUGGUACCCGCCUCAUCCUUCCCAUCAGUGAGCUUGGUUGGGGGCAUGGGCGGGGGGCAGACACAGUUGGCACCCACUAGAUUUCUACAUUUAGUCCUUCCCUACAUUUCCCAGGCUUUAAGUUAUACAAAUUUGGGGGAUUAUCUGUUGCAGUUCUGAUGAGUGGACUUGGAACACAUGUGUUGGUGCCACUUAGAGCCAAAUUUCCACUCCCACCCAAUUUCUGUUAUCCUGUCUUGGCAACAUGAGCCUCUAUGGCUCUAAGAUGGAGCUGGCUGUCCAACUAGCACUGGACUUGAGCAAGAAAUAAACCUUAAAACCUUGUUUUAAAAGUGAAGUUCCCAUUGUGGAUCAGUGGGUUAAGAACCUGACAUAGUGUCCAUGAGGAUGCAGGUUUGAUCCCUGACCUUGCUCAGUAGAUUAAGGAUCCAACAUUGCCACGAGAUGUGGCCGUAGGUUGCAGAUGCAGCUUAGAUUCGACUCCUACUCUGGGAAUUUCUUUUUCUAAAAAAAGAAAGUUAUUUAGAAGCAAUUUCAGUUCCUAAGGAAGAGUGUUCUAAGAGAACUUUUCAAAAAUAGACUGGUCAAGAAAAAAAUAUUGUCCCAUCUAAUGAGAUACUGAAUUCUGGGUCACAACAGUGUUUAAGAAGAGUUUACAUGCAAAGAUGCUGUGAGGUAGCUGUCGAGAUCUUCCUGCUGCCUCUUCUCCCCCAGACGGUGCCUGGGAAAGUCUAUGUGAGGGUAAGACAGAGUUAACUCACUAAACGAUGGAUUUAUGGAAAGUGUACCAAGCAUGCUUCCUUUCACCAAAGUCAACGUACUUUUUUGUGAUUUCUAAGGAAGAAGACUCCAGACUCAGCUUACUGAUUUUCACUGUCCUUUUAUAGGACUAUUAAAGCAGAAUGACUUUGAAAUGGGCAGCGGACACUUUUCUUUUCUGAUUUACUAGAUCUCUUCAGGCCUUAGGCUACUCUUGCCUUUAGGAUUGUUGCCAGGCAACUGUCUAAAGCCCUUGGUCUCAAUCACCUCAGAGAAGCUCAUCCUUUAAGAGAGUCAAACUUAGUAGUUUCUUUUGACCCCAGUGAAAAGCAAAAGAUUGACCAGCAUUUUGAAAGUUGGCCUGUGGUACCUUCAGAAUGUUCUUUGCUAUUGAGGGUGCUGGUUUUGGCUUUUGGCUUUCUUACUCUUGGGCCACAUAAUAGCAGCUCAUUCCUUCAAUAACCUUCACUGGUUAUGCUAGGAAAAGGAGGUAACAUGGUAGCCAAGGGGAUCACUACUCAGCAAACAAGUGAGACUGUGGUUCUCACCUUGAAAGAGGUAUUAGGGCACUAGGUGAGUGAGAGAUCGGGCUGGGAAUGGCACAGCGAGGUAGAGAAAGUUCAAGAUAACAAGUCAGUUGUGUGCAAACAUAAUAACAUACCUGAAUAAGAGAACCGGCUGCCAACAAUCCAGAAACUGACUGGAGGAAUGUUUAACAUUGCUAUUUUAAACCAAAACUUUUUUUUUUUCAGAAAAAAAUAGCACAUAAGGAGCUUAGAGCUCCUCUAGUCCAAAUUACCCAAUUUUCAGGAGUUUGAAUACCAGCAGACAAAAAUAUAAAGUGGUUCCUGACAAUCCAGGACUGACACUCAAGCCUCCCAAUUUCCAACCACUGCCUUCUGUAUUAUAUCCCUAAUACAUUCCUUGGAGAUGUCCUAUGCAGAUAAUUUUUGGUAAAACUCACCCACCGAACAAAAGAUGGCCUCAAAUUGUGGAGUGUCUGUGGCAUUCAUUUAUUCAUUUAUUUAUUGUUUCUGAUUUCAAGGGGCUUUCUUGCUUAUGUGAAAAUGGUAUUCACUGAUCCAGACAUUGACUUAAAGGAGAGAGGUGCAUAUUCCUUUCCUUAUUAAGCAUGUCAUGCUUUCCAGGGUUCGAGUCUUAAGCAGCAGUGAUCCACAGUGCCCCCAAGCAGCAGUGAUCCACAGUGCCCCCUCCUUGAUUUCUGUUUGCUGAGGUGUGAUGGUUAAUGCCACUCUCUCAGCCUCAUGAACAGACAGAUUCAGCUCACCUAUUCUACUCUUCCCAGAGCUUUUCAGGGGCAAGGAAGAUGGAAAGUCCUCCCAGAACCAUUCAUAUAGGUUGACAUCCCCUUCUUCUUUCAGGACUGUGUGGCUCCCAUGGGGCCAACCUCUUUCCAGAAAAAGCAGUGCUCUCAUGCUUACCCUUAGACUUUCCUUCUGGGGCCCCCGGGCUUUGGUCAGGCUCAGAGAGCAAACAUGCAGCCUCUCUUGAUCUAGGUUCUGACAGCUGCCCUGCUGGAGAUGGGAGCUGAGCUGUGAGAGUGGAGGAGCAGGUACAUUUUUAGGAUCAUGGUUUUCCAGGAGUCCCAAUUUGAAUCUAAAAUUUAGUUCAUGCAGAAGACCUAAAUAAACAUUUCUCCAAGGGAGACAUACGGGUGACCAACAGGCAUAUUAAGAGAUAAUCAUCAUCACUAAUUGUUAGAGAAAUGCACAUCAGAACUACAGUGAGGUACCACUUCACACCAGUCAGAAUGGCCAUCAUAAAAAAGUUUACAAGUAACAAAUGCUAGAGAGAUUGUACAGAAAAGGGAACCUUCCUACACUGUUGGUGGGACUGUAAAUUGGUACAACCACUAUGGAAAACAGAUGGAGAUUCCUCAGAAAACUGAAAAUAGAGUGGCCAUGUUGUUCUACAAUCCCACUUCUGGACAUAUAUCCGGACAAAACCAUAAUUUGAAAAGAUAGAUGCACCCCUCUAUUCAGAGCAGCACUAUUUACAAUAGCCACGACCUAGAAGCAACCUAAAUGUCCAUCAAAAGAAGAAUGGAUAAAGAGGUGGUAUAUAUGCACAAUGGAAUAAAAAAGGAUGGAAUAAUGCCAAUGGCAGCAACAUGGAUGAACUAGAAGUUAUCAUACCAAGUAAAGUAAGUCAGAUAGAGAAAGACAAAUAUAUAAGAUCACUUAUAGGUGAAAAAUAAAAAUAAUUUAAAAAAGAAUGUAUAUAUGUAUGUGUGACUGGGUCACUUCACUGUAUAGUAGAAAAUCAACAGAACACUGCAAACCAGCUAUAAUGGAAAAAAUAAAAAUCAUUUAAAGACCAUUUAUACGUGGAAUCUAAAAUGACCUAUAUGAACUUAUCUACAAAACAGGAACAUAUUCACAGACAUAGAGAACAGACUUGUGGUUGCCAAGGGAGAUGGGUGUAGGGGAGGGAUGGGAUGGGAGUUUGAAUAUAGCAGAUGCAAAUGAUUAUAUACAGAAUGGACAAAGAACAAGGUCCUACCAUAUAGCACAGGGAAAUAUACUCAAAAUCCUAUAAUAAACCAUAUGAAAAAGAAUAUAUAUGUAUACACAUUUGUAAUAUAUACAUUUACAUAUAUGUUAAACUGAAUCACUUUGUUGUAUAGCAGAAAUUAACACAACGCUAUAAAUCAAC
rnacentral:lncRNA from 1 species